AUCUAAAUAGUUUAAAGUGGAAAAUGUUGGUUUGUGGUGCCAAUGAUAUAGAUUGAUAUUUUAGAUU
rnacentral:tRNA from 1 species